GUUUAUUUGGUGUAGUAGUCGAAUAAUAGUAUCUAAAAAUAUUGAAACUAUUUUAAAACACAUUACGGGCAUGAGGAUGAUAUAGAGCACUUACAUAAAUACCAAAAUCAGAUAAAUAUCUCUUCAAAGUUUAUUUUGAGACUUUCUUCAAAAAUUAAACUUCAGACUGUUCAGGAUAGCAUAAUAGCAUAGGAGGCGAAUUAAAAAGAAUUGAUUUACUUACAAGAAAAGAUAUCACAAACAUUAAACUCUCUUAUGGCAUUGAUUUGAAAGAUGGGUAUAUGUACAAUGAUGAUGCAACAAGUGUUUAUUUUUGGGUUGAAUGCUUACAGACUCAUGUCCAAUACUAUUUUACAAACAACAGGGCAUACUAAUGGAUAUUCAUUCUGAAUUUAACAUUUAUGAUUUUUGUCUUAUUUUUCUUAAUACUGUGCCAAAAGGAAAUGUUAAUUAAGUUUGGUAAAUCCUUUAUCGCAAUCGAUGGAACUCAUGGGCUCAAUUCCUAUGACUUUGAACUUAUGACAGUAUUAGUAAAAGAUGAAUUUGGGAAUGGAUUUUGUACUGCUUUCUUAUUUUCAAAUAGAAAAGAUACCUACUUUAA